UCUCCGUAGGUGAACCUGCGUAGGGAUCAUUACUGAGUGAGGGCUCACGCCCGACCUCCAACCCUUUGUGAACCAAACUUGUUGCUUCGGGGGCGACCCUGCCUUUCGGCGCGGCGCCCCCGGGGGCUCAUCAAACCCUGCGUAACUAAGUCGUCGGAGUUUAAACAAAUUAAACAAAACUUUCAACAACGGAUCUCUUGGUUCGGGCAUCGAUGAAGAACGCAGC
rnacentral:misc_RNA from 1 species